UAGGGUGUCUGGUCAACUCUCCCAGUCAAUGAGAAAAAACUCAAUGCAGCCUUUAGAUCGACAAGGAGUGUUAUCUUGAUAUUUUCUGUGAGAGAGAGUGGAAAAUUCCAAGGAUUUGCGAGACUGGCAUCUGAAUCCCAUCACGGAGGAUCUCCUAUACAUUGGGUGCUCCCUGCAGGAAUGAGUGCAAAAAUGCUUGGGGGUGUGUUUAAGAUAGAUUGGAUAUGCAGGCGUGAAUUGCCAUUCACAAAGAC